rnacentral:rRNA from 1 species
UACGGAGGGUGCAAGCGUUAUCCGGAUUCACUGGGUUUAAAGGGUGCGUAGGUGGAGUGGUAAGUCAGUGGUGAAAUCUCCAAGCUUAACUUGGAAACUGCCGUUGAUACUAUCAUUCUUGAAUAUCGUGGAGGUAAGCGGAAUAUGUCAUGUAGCGGUGAAAUGCUUAGAUAUGACAUAGAACACCGAUUGCGAAGGCAGCUUGCUACACGAUCAUUGACGCUGAGGCACGAAAGCGUGGGGAGCAAACAGG